GACGAACGCUGGCGGCGUGCCUAAUACAUGCAAGUCGAGCGAACUUUUGGGGGCUUGCUCCCAAAAGUUAGCGGCGGACGGGUGAGUAACACGUGGGCAACCUGCCUGUAAGACUGGGAUAACUUCGGGAAACCGGAGCUAAUACCGGAUAACUUCUUUUCCCGCAUGGGGAGAGGUUGAAAGACGGCGGUCUGCUGUCACUUACAGAUGGGCCCGCGGCGCAUUAGCUAGUUGGUGAGGUAACGGCUCACCAAGGCGACGAUGCGUAGCCGACCUGAGAGGGUGAUCGGCCACACUGGGACUGAGACACGGCCCAGACUCCUACGGGAGGCAGCAGUAGGGAAUCUUCCGCAAUGGACGAAAGUCUGACGGAGCAACGCCGCGUGAGUGAAGAAGGUCUUCGGAUCGUAAAACUCUGUUAUCAGGGAAGAACAAGUAUCGGAGUAACUGCCGGUACCUUGACGGUACCUGACCAGAAAGCCACGGCUAACUACGUGC
rnacentral:rRNA from 1 species